rnacentral:rRNA from 1 species
AUACGGAGGGUGCAAGCGUUACUCGGAAUCACUGGGCGUAAAGCGCGCGCAGGCGGCUUGAUAAGUUGGAUGUGAAAGCCUACGGCUCAACCGUAGAACUGCACCCAAAACUGUCAAGCUAGAGUCUGGGAGGGGAAGAUGGAAUUAGUUGUGUAGGGGUAAAAUCCGUAGAGAUAACUAGGAAUACCAAAAGCGAAGGCGAUCUUCUGGAACAGUACUGACGCUGAGGCGCGAAAGCGUGGGGAGCAAACAGGAUUAGAUACCUGGGUAGUCC